rnacentral:tRNA from 1 species
GAAGAUUUAGUUAAAGUAUAACAUUAGAGUGUCAAUCUAAAAUUAUCAUAAUAGAUACUCUUCU